rnacentral:misc_RNA from 1 species
GGUUGGACUGUCAGAACUCAGAGGCAAAGGUGGAAGCCAUGUCCGAAAGGGUUCUUUGCAAGUUCUUUGCACAUGGGGCAUGUCUGAAGGGGGAUCAUUGUGAGUUUUCACAUGAUUGGAACAAUCCUUCUAAUAAUGUAUGUACCUACUACCAAAAAGGAGCUUGUGCUUAUGGAAGCAGGUGUAGAUAUGAUCAUGUUAAACUGUCUCGAUCACAACCUUCAGCUCAGUCUUCAGCACAACCUCAACAAUGUCUGCUUUCAAGUUCUACGCCUAUCAAUGUGUCUCCUGGAAUGGGUGCACAUAAUGCAGAUGUUCUGCCAGGCAUUUGUACUGAGUAUUUAGCUUCAAGCAGACCUUAUGACGCUUCCAGCCAAUCAGCAUGGAACCAAAAGUCAGAGCUUCAAGAUGCAUUAGAGAUUGAUGACAUGAUUGAGUUAAACAGUGAUAAUCCAGCUGAUCGGUCAAUCUGUGCUUUUGCUGCUGCUGGUAAUUGUCCUCGGGGAGAAAAGUGUCCUCGUGUUCAUGGAGAUCUGUGUCCAACCUGCGGAAAGCAUUGCUUGCAUCCUUUCAGGCCCGA